rnacentral:rRNA from 1 species
GGAUAACAGCCAGAAAUGACUGCUAAUACCGCAUAAGCGCACAGGACCGCAUGGUUCCGUGUGAAAAACUCCGGUGGUAUAAGAUGGACCCGCGUUGGAUUAGUUAGUUGGCAGGGCAGCGGCCUACCAAGGCGACGAUCCAUAGCCGGCCCGAGAGGGUGAACGGCCACAUUGGGACUGAGACACGGCCCAGACUCCUACGGGAGGCAGCAGUGGGGAAUAUUGCACAAUGGGGGAAACCCUGAUGCAGCGACGCCGCGUGAAGGAAGAAGUAUUUCGGUAUGUAAAGCUCUAUCAGCAGGGAAGAAAAUGACGGUACCUGACUAGGAAGCACCGGCUAAAUACGUGCCAGCAGCCGCGGUAAUACGUAUGGUGCAAGCGUUAUCCGGAUUUACUGGGUGUAAAGGGAGCGUAGACGGAGUGGCAAGUCUGAUGUGAAAACCCGGGGCUCAACCCCGGGACUGCAUUGGAAACUGUCAAUCUAGAGUACCGGAGAGGUAAGCGGAAUUCCUAGUGUAGCGGUGAAAUGCGUAGAUAUUAGGAGGAACACCAGUGGCGAAGGCGGCUUA